rnacentral:tRNA from 1 species
UUUUGGCUAGCUCAGUUGGUAGAGCAUGAGGCUUUUAAUCUCAGGGUCAUGGGUUCAAGCCCCAUGCUGGGUG